rnacentral:misc_RNA from 1 species
CGGCUCGUACGUAAUAUCACUUUCACGGUACGAGCUAAAUCCGUUGCUGCCCGGUAAAUCAAUGAACCGAACUUACGAGUAUAUACUUUGGAUAAAUGUCCGUAACAUGUGGGACACACGUUGUUAGUUAUUUAGUUCUAUUAGACGAGAAAAAGAAGAAGAAAAAAGAAGUGCAUACACGGCAGUGCACUUCAUUGCUCAAUGACAAAAGCUUGUUAGUGAAGCUUCACCGAGCUCCUAUUCGUUGGCCUUUUAGGACGGCGAUACGUCAGCGGCAGAAAGCGAGCAACGUCACCGGAGUUUGCAGAGGUUAGUCAUGGUGGAACUAUAUACAGGAUAUUAGUCUGUGACAGGCUUCCUCAACAGAGGGUCGAAAGGUCUCCGCAGGAAAAUAAAAUCAUCGACCCCCAACGCUGAUGAUUUUAAAUAUCGCUACUGUAAAUAACACCGACCAGGUAGAUAUGGUCAGUAAUGUUCUCUUGGUAAAAAAAAAACAAUGUUUUUCUCUCACCGGUGCUCAACUUUGGAACUUCAACGAGUUACACAUUCAAUAUAUCGUAUUCUUGUGUUGGAAUCUGUUGGACCAUUGAACUGUCUAUUAAAAGUGUCAUGGUAAUCGAAUACAUGGAAAACAAGCAGAUUUAUAAUUUUACAUUUAAAAUAAAAAUGUGUAUUUAACAUUUCGAAUGUUCGAAUUACUUGUAAUCCCUUUUUGAAAUGUACUGGAACAUCUUCAGGCCUAUUCACCUUUGCGUUCAGCUAUGUAUUUUAUCAGACCGUCAGCGAAAGAAAAGGGUAAAAACAAUGAGACUGUGGUAGAAAUCGAAGCUGAUGAACUAGCUUACACCUAGAAUAUUCAUUCGUUCUUAAUCUGCUUACAGUUACAGACACUGCACAUAUUUACCUGAAUAUUUUUGACCAAUUCUGUUUAACCAAUCAGAUAUAAAUUCCUACCUAAUAUUUU